UCUCGUAUUCCCUUUGCAGUUUGAGUGCAGAGUGUUGAGUUUGUGUUGAGUGGGCGAAGUUGAGAGUUGAGGUGGCGGAGGACGUGGAUUUCCGUCCCGGUGCUGCGAGGUUGAAACGAUUGAAAUAAGAAGGGCCUAAAAAGGGAAAAAAUAUUUGGAAUAGCUAUCUGACUGGCCCGCAUUUUUGUGAGACCGGUGAGAGGCCCUGACACAGCAAUGAUCACUGACGUGCAGCUGGCAGUGUUUGUCAACCUGCUGGGAGUCUCCCUCUUUUUGCUGGUGGUUGCAUACCAUUAUGUUGCAGCCAACAACCCUAAGCAUGCCUAAUAACUGAUGGCUGGUUGCUGCGGCAGUGGAACUACUGCUGCGAGUCUCGGGGAAAUGCCAUACCCGUCUGCCACCGCACACAGCUCUGCACGCGGGCGCAUUCUGGUCGGUGUGCGCCAUUCCAUGUCACAUUUGGUGGGGUCCGUUUCAGUGAUACUUUGCUUAUGAUUGCAAAUAAAACGUGUGAAAACUG